GUGCUGGUAGCUCAGAGGUAGAGUAAUCGGCUGCAGUCCGAUCGGUCAUGGGUUCAAUUCCCAUUCGGCACU